AGCUUUAUAGUCAAUUUAAAUGAUAUUAGACUGCAAUUCUAAAGUAGAUAAAUAAUUAAUCUAAAGCUU
rnacentral:tRNA from 1 species